rnacentral:lncRNA from 1 species
AAUGAUUGGACCAAUGGUUUAGCUCCGCCCCCUCUCAGCCUGACCGAGGAGCCUGGCCGAAGGAACUGCGAUCCCAAAGAGGAGGAAGAGUAACGCAGGCCAAUGAGUGGGUGAUAGGACGGAGGAGAGAGUCUACAUUCUCCAAACGUGUUGCUGUGUAGUUCAUGUCGCAUGAUGAAGAUUGUAAUAAUAUUGUUAGUAGUGAUCUGGGUACCGGCUACAGCGAUACCAGGAAUGUGUCAUUUCACCCCCCAAGUUACAGCACAAGUGUGACAAAAUGUCACUCUGCAGUGCUGUUUUGAUGCUUCAUUGAAUUUAAGAACUCGGACAGUUGACUGGAAAAAAGAUGACAAGCAGGUGGUCCACGUCUACCGCGAUAGAAAGGACUGUCCUGAUCUACAGGAAACGCAGUUCAGACACAGGACAGCUCUAAGGCAUGAAGACCUGAGCAGAGGAGUCAUGACACUGCAGAUCUUGGCUCAGCUCAGUGACACUGGCAACUUCUCCUGUAAUGUGCCAAAAGGCCGGGGUUCAGAAAUGCUCUCCCAGCGAGUCAUGCUCUUUGGUAACGGCAUGGAUUUAAAUUGAUGUAAAGUAACAGAGAAAAUAAAGACGUAAUCACUUUAACAUUUAAAGGGUGCUUAACUGAUUUUAUUUUUUUAACAGUGAUGAACACAAGAAAAGUCCUUCCCAACAUAACAAGGUUUCCGAAGAAAGACGAGAUGACUACUGUACGUCUGAAGGGAAGAACACCGGUGUCAUUGCCUUUGCCUGGGUUUGUCUUGGCCUCUUCGGAGCUGGCCUUUUUGGGGCUGGUCUUGGAGUCCUGGUUAAAUGGAGAAAGAUCCGUACAGUAGGUUAUUUUAUUAAGUGGUUAGAUCUAACUUUUGAUAUAGCUUUUAAUAC